GAUGUCGGCUCAUCACAUCCUGGGGCUGAAGUAGGUCCCAAGGGUAUGGCUGUUCGCCAUUUAAAGUGGUACGCGAGCUGGGUUUAGAACGUCGUGAGACAGUUCGGUCCCUAUCUGCCGUGGGCGCUGGAGAAUUGAGGGGGGCUGCUCCUAGUACGAGAGGACCGGAGUGGACGCAUCACUGGUGUUCGGGUUGUCAUGCCAAUGGCACUGCCCGGUAGCUAAAUGCGGAAGAGAUAAGUGCUGAAAGCAUCUAAGCACGAAACUUG
rnacentral:rRNA from 1 species